rnacentral:lncRNA from 10 species
UUUAAAAUGAGUUUGGUUAGCCCUUUUAUGUUUGCUUUUUGUUUGUUUUCCAGUGCAGAAUUUUAUUGGCUUGUCAUGAAUUUUCAGCAGAAAGUUAACAGACUCGCUCUGUUGCUCAGGCUGGACUGCAGUGGUGUGAUCUUGGCUCACUGCAACCUCUGUCUGCCAGACUCAAGCAAUCCCCCAACCUCAGCCUCCUGAAUAGCUGGAACCACAGGUGCGUGCCACUGCACUCAGCUAAUCUUUGUAUUUUUGUAGAGAUGUGGUUUCGCCAUGUUAGCCAGGCUGGUCUCCAACUCCCAAGUUCAAGCGAUCAGCCCGCCUCAGCCUCCCAAAAUGCUAGGAUUACAGGAGUGAGCCACCACCUUCGAGUCCGGCCUUCGAGUCUGCUUUGAAUGCACUGUUAUCACAUCUAGUGCUCACAACUGAAGAACAACAUCUAUAAUAAUCUGCAUUUUGCAGAUAUUGAACAGUUAUCUACCCUCGGUCACAUUGCCAGAAGGUGGUAGAAUUAGAAUUAAAACUCAGGAGUUUGUUUCCACACCAGAUACUCUUAACCAUUUUAUUAAAACUUGACAAAACUUAAAUAUAUAUAUAUAUAUAGUCCAUAUACUGUGCAUUUCUU